GAUGAACUAAUGGAAAUAAGUUGACUUUUGUUCUAUUUUUGUAACAAGUUAUGCACAAUGAAUGCAAACACACACAACUUUACACGGAAAAUUAAUUUCAAAGAAUUAGUUUUUAAUAUUAUUUACAAACAAAUUCAAUAAUAUUCAGCAGAAUCCACAGCACGGACACGGACACGUCUCUGAAUUUUCAACGGUCAUUUAUAAACAGUUCAAGUGGGUACGUGUUAUAUUGCACGAAUUGUUGCAACUCUUUCGUAGAACAUAGAAAUAUAUAAUAAGCUAUUUGACUUUGAUACGAGAUAAUUGCAACAGCAUUUCCGGCGGAAUGGAGAAGAGUUCGUCCUGGUGGGUCACGAGAAUCUCGGUUAUCCGGUUGGUUUUCGAGGCAUAGGCCAUCUGUCAAAUUAGAGUGCAUUGGCUUAUGGCGUCUUACUUUCAAGGUGCUUUUUGCUAUUGUUUUUUUAAUAUAUAUAUUGUGUUUGAAGAGAUUUAUUACCCCGUCUGUUAGCGAUUCCAUGUUGGUUUUGGUACUUGCUUUGCUUAUUCGGGGUGGGAAAAGGUUGGGGCCCAUCACUGUGGCCACAUUGCUAACUGUCAUUCGGUUUUGAGUUUGGUGAUCCACGACGUCCUUGAGAAAUCUGAGCAAAAGUCGAAGGGUCUGGCAAUUUACGUCGGGCAGCUGGACAAUCAGCAGGUUCAAAGCCCAUAUUUGAUCAUCAAAAUUGGUAAUAUCUACACAUGUGAAAAUUCAAUGUUGGUAUAAAGUCACAGCGUUAAAAAUUGUGACUUUUUUCUACAUAUACCUCCAACUUGAGCGAACAAGUCCAAGCAAUCUUGGGUAAAGAGUGAUUCAGGCACUCUUAGCAAACCCUCUUCAUCCAAACGGUGGUUCCUCAACUCUUCAACCAACUGCAUUUCGGGGUAUGCCAAAGACGUUCCUUUCUCUACUCGACUGGGUGAAAUUUCGGACUCGCAGCCGACUGCGUUUCCUCAUGGGCAGCCCGUAUUUGUCAAACAAAGCGGUCAGUUCCAGUAGAGCCAGUUGACGUAAUUUUCUCUUUUGCGCAUGGGCCGAAGCCGACGAGAGGGUUCCGACCAGUUUGAACUUGACAAUUUCGAUUCCUUGUCUAUCGACAGCGGCUACGUGACCUUCGGCCGCUGGACUGAAAAAUCCCGGACGGGACGGUUUGAACGACUGCUGUUUAAUCCCGUCAAUUUGAUUGAAACUACUCCGCCUCCUAGACUCUGAUCUGUGGGUGUUGGGUAUUGGAAGAAACGAAUCCAGAAUUUUGACAGAGGACUACUUUGUUGUUGUUGCUGGAAAUAGUCGCCGCAUCAUCUUCAUCCAGACAGCUGCUUUGAAAGAGACUGGAUAAAAGCUCGCCAUCUUCCUGGCUGCCGGAGCGUGACCAAGUUUUAGGUGAGAUGGCCGGACUGAUGGUAAGUCGUCCUCCUCCUCCUACACUUGCCACUAAAUUCUCCGUCGAGUGUUUCAUCGAGUCCGAGUCCAAAGAGUCAGGGGUGGCUGAUCGCGAACGGCCACUCGAUCCGCCGCUGUGACUGGCCUGAUCGUGUUUUUUUUUUAUAUUUUUAAAGUUUCCGUUAGCCGAGCUCAAUUUUUUUCUAUUCUUAUCUCUCCAUCAAAACUCACCUCCGGAUCACGAAAAAUGUCCCGGCAGUCGGGUCUCUGUUGGCCGGCUCCCGCUCGAGUUUUACGUCCUUUUAAAGUGACUCGAAGGGUCUCCACUCUUUUGCGGAUGGUUUGGUAUUGAUUGGUUGUCAAAUUGUCCUCGAUGACGGCGUUGGCCAGGCUGGCUUCCGUCACUAAUUGAUUGUUUUCCAUCAGGUUGUCGACAAUGUUGCCCAAUCCGACGUCGAUGAGCCACGUAGCGGCUUCUUCCGCUUCUGUGUCGUGCCAAGAAAAAUGGUUAACGGGACGACACUUUUGCUGUGUUUUUCAUUUUGACAUUGUGCGUCGAGUCGUUUACCUUCCAUCGUCGAGGCGGAGCAGAGCAGCUCGUCUUCGGAUGAUGUGGUUUCAACCAUUGACCUGACGUGGUUUUCCGGCCAGACGUCGUGAAGAUGGGCUUCCCCUUCGACGACCGCUGCCAUGAUGAUGAUGGGGGUUGCUGGAGUCUAUAGUUUGGAGAGCUCAAACUUUCCCUGCCGCAAAAAAAGAAAAAGAAAGCGACGGCCGAAAAAGAAGAAGAAGAAAUAAAAACCUUGGGUGCAGAGUUCGGUGAAACGUCGUUGGUACUGAUUCAAUUCAGAGUUGCCCGGCACGGCGUCCAACUGGCGUCGCAAUUUCAUCAAAUUCACGUUCUUCUCACCCAAAAUUUUCAGGGCGCCAGCCAGCUGCUCACGGGCACUGUCCACUUGCCGCUUGAGGUGAUCUUGAUUGGCUGGAGCUUCCUCUUCUUUGCUUAAUAAUGCCCUGGCGGAAUUUUUUCGUUUUUCCCAAAAUUUUUAAUUAGGCGAAUCGUGUAUAAUUAAAAUGAAAAAAAAAAUAUAUGAUUAUUUGUUUUACUCGUUGCGUGACUGAAGUUCUUCCAGCUCUGUUUUACAUUGAUUUUUGAAUUGCUUCCGCUGUGCAUUGGCCGCUUCGUUCUGGCUUACGAGGCGAUCAAGCUGAUCCAAGGUCCUGGUUAACAAAUGUCGUGAUGGUUGUUAAAUUUUGGUUAUUUUAUUUUUUUAUCGAACGUCACGCGUGAUUGAAUUCAUUACUGGCGAUUCUCCUCAGUCUCCAAGGCUGCGAGCGAUUUCUUCUGCUGCUCCAAAACUUCUUCUGACGCAAUAAGAUCGCCGAUCUUGGCCUUCAACUGAUCCAUCACCUGUUGCUGCGAGGCGAUUUGAUUGCAGACGCGUUCCAGAGCUUCCGAUGUUUUCUUAUUGCGUUCCUCCAAAUGAGUUCGCUCAUCCCGCUCGCCCUUUUUAUUGGGUUGGGAUUUUAAUAAAAAUUAUUAGAUUUCUU